GACCGUCUUAGAAUGCUCAGCAUUCUGCAAAGGUUCUUCAACAACCGUCGUAGAAUGUUGAGUUUUCUACAUCGAUCACAACUGAAGGAUCGAUGUAGAAUGCUGAGCAUUCUAAGACGGUC
rnacentral:pre_miRNA from 1 species